CACAGACAGGUUGAAGAGAGACAGACACAGACACACAGACAGGUUGUAGAGAGACAGACACAGACACACAGACAGGUUGUAGAGAGACAGACAGGUUGAAGAGAGACAGAUACAGACACACAGACAGGUUGAAGAGAGACAGACACAGACACACAGACAGGUUGUAGAGAGACAGACACAGACACACAGACAGGUUGUAGAGAGACAGAUACAGACACACAGACAGGUUGUAGAGAGACAGACACAGACACACAGACAGGUUGAAGAGAGAUAGACACAGACACACAGACAGGUUGUAGAGAGACAGACACAGACACACAGACAGGUUGUAGAGAGACAGAUACAGACACACAGACAGGUUGUAGAGAGACAGACAGGUUGUAGAGAGACAGACACAGACACACAGGGGUGUC
ensembl:lncRNA